rnacentral:lncRNA from 1 species
CCCUGCACUUUAGGACAGAGCUUUCUACCUUAAGGUCCCAACAAGUGCUAGAGUUUCAUGUUUGCUGAGCAAGUGCUCUACCGCCGAGCUGCAUCUCCAAACCCACACAGGAAGCCUUGUAAAAAAAUGAAACGAAAGAAAAUACCAGAGCACAUUCAACAUUAGAAACCAAAAUUCUCACUACCAAGCCCCAGCACAGCUGGAAGGAUUUCGAAGGAGAAGUGUUGUCUCCUGGCCCUUCCCCUGACACUCCUGAGGUUGCAGACCCGUUGACUAUAGAAAAUCACAGCAGGUUGGAGCGCUCCAUUUCCUACUCUGCAAACAGGGAGUGGCCCAACUCCUACUUCUGCAUCUCCGCACAGACCCGGGGGUGGGGGAGGGUGCAAACGACCGAAAGAGCGAGCGCAUUCCUUCUCCCUUAUGCAAAAAGACUGUUGACGACUCUACUUGCAAAAUGUCGCCUGUCCGUCUGCCUUUUCCUCAGCAAUUGCUGAGCCAGUCAUUGGAAAGCGGCAAGGCAAAACACCCAUUACCAAGAUGUAGCUACCAAAGGACUGAGAUUGGGGAUCAGAAAUUCAACACCUUUACCCCAGCCCCUGUGGACAACUUCCUCCCGUGGGACUGAGGACACAGAUGUCACCAGAAAGUUACAUAUGAGCCCCUCCAUUGCAUGGACUGUCUACCCCUCAUCCCUGCCCGAGCGCCCUCUGCUCUCAGUGAGUUCUGCUCUUUGUUUCCCCUCAUCUUUUUCCCUGUCUGAAUCCAACCCACAGGGAUUAGCUCAGUUUUCUUAUCUUCUAGGAAGCCAAUCCACAAAGGACACUCAAAAUGCAUAAAAAUCUCCUUAUGGCACUUAAAUGUUUAUGGGUAAUAAAAGGAAUCAUUCCUCUCCUUA